CAGUCGAACGAUGAAGCCUUUCGGGGUGGAUUAGUGGCGAACGGGUGAGUAACACGUGGGCAAUCUGCCCUUCACUCUGGGACAAGCCCUGGAAACGGGGUCUAAUACCGGAUAAUACUCCUGCCUGCAUGGGUGGGGGUUAAAAGCUCCGGCGGUGAAGGAUGAGCCCGCGGCCUAUCAGCUUGUUGGUGAGGUAGUGGCUCACCAAGGCGACGACGGGUAGCCGGCCUGAGAGGGCGACCGGCCACACUGGGACUGAGACACGGCCCAGACUCCUACGGGAGGCAGCAGUGGGGAAUAUUGCACAAUGGGCGAAAGCCUGAUGCAGCGACGCCGCGUGAGGGAUGACGGCCUUCGGGUUGUAAACCUCUUUCAGCAGGGAAGAAGCGAAAGUGACGGUACCUGCAGAAGAAGCGCCGGCUAACUACGUGCCAGCAGCCGCGGUAAUACGUAGGGCGCAAGCGUUGUCCGGAAUUAUUGGGCGUAAAGAGCUCGUAGGCGGUCUGUCGCGUCGGAUGUGAAAGCCCGGGGCUUAACCCCGGGUCUGCAUUCGAUACGGGCAGACUAGAGUGUGGUAGGGGAGAUCGGAAUUCCUGGUGUAGCGGUGAAAUGCGCAGAUAUCAGGAGGAACACCGGUGGCGAAGGCGGAUCUCUGGGCCAUUACUGACGCUGAGGAGCGAAAGCGUGGGGAGCGAACAGGAUUAGAUACCCUGGUAGUCCACGCCGUAAACGGUGGGAACUAGGUGUUGGCGACAUUCCACGUCGUCGGUGCCGCAGCUAACGCAUUAAGUUCCCCGCCUGGGGAGUACGGCCGCAAGGCUAAAACUCAAA
rnacentral:rRNA from 1 species